rnacentral:lncRNA from 1 species
UGUGACCUGCGCCACAGCUACAGCAACACCAGGUCCCACUGUGCCAGGCUGGGGAUCGAAGCUGCAUCCUUUUAUUUCAACUUUGCAUGUGGUGCGUACUUAAUCAGACAAUCAUCAAACCCAUACACACGGCUCGCCACGCCACAGACGCGCCUCAGUGUCAACCCCCCACCCAGGGGCGGUGCUCUUCGCCCCUGAAGCCACUGAGAAACGGCUUAUGUAAGAGAUGCCUUCUUUCAAGUUAAGUUGAGAGGUUUAGACUUUAAUUUCCCUAACUCACUAAAGAAAAACCCCAUGCAGGAGAACCCUCCCUAAAUUAUUUCGAUGACCCUUAACGGUUAAGCCGGCCCCCCACUCAGAACCCGGACCUGUGGCUGAGACUGUUCUGCAUUUAAACGACACUCAGUGUCCUGUCACAGUUUCCGCGUGACUCACAUUCUCCCAGAAGAUCCAAGACACGCAGAAGCCACCUCAGCACUUGGGUCACGCGGCCACCUCCACAUGCACUCACUGGCUCUGCUUCAGGAGGGCCUCAAAGCAGGGGCGUCCCCACUGACGGGGCGUCCCCCCCGCGCUGCCAGCCCGAGAGCCCUGACUAGCUCUCCACCCAGGGUGGCUGGCUGGCUCAGACGCCACCGGCACAUGUCUCGGGGAUGCACAUCCUGGAGCCGUGACCCCCAGGCUGAACCUCCUCCACGGAGGGCAGGACCAAGGGCAGGAGCGGCGGGCGACACAGACCCCGUGCACAGAUGUGGCUGCCCGCCGAGAGAGCAAGGCCAGGCCAGUGCGCCAGGAGCCCUCAGGGGUCGCCCGGGUCCUCGAGGCACCUUCACAACCUGGAGAGGACUCGGUCCCGCUCAGACGCCUGAGCUGCCGUGGACUCAAAGCGACACCACCUCACCCCUAGCGAGAAGGAGCCCUCCCCGCAGUUCUGGAACAACCAGGAGUUCAGGGUGGCCGUCACUGAACCGGAGCCGCCGCCUGCACUGUGACCCUGUGCACAAGAGCUGCCCUCGUACGCCUGCCAACAUCGCCCCUGCCAGCUCCCACCACCACCACCACCACGGAUGCUGCCCGUGCCAGGCUCCCACAACGCAAGGUGCCUGCAAAGCCACGCGGCCACACAUGCCGGUCCCGCUCCUGCCCUCGCAGUUGCAGGAGCAGCUGGAAAACUACAGAGCCUCCUGCUGCCCUUUGCCACCCUGCCUAUCAGCGCCCGUCCUGGCCCACCACCCUGCCCCCGGGCUGUUUCGGUCUCCGAUUUGGGGUGAUGUGCUGCGGACCUCAGGUGGCUGCUGACAUGUCUCCACACGUCCUCAAAGCAGGAUAAGCAGAGGGCGCACAGUCACUGCUCUAACACCUCAGCGACACGUGGCUGCUUCUCAGGACCCACUCUGUGUCCCACAGAUUUCAGGGCCCCCACAGCUGAGACAAGAGCCUCCUCCCGGCUUCCUCCCAAGGUCCCCCUCCACGGCGGUUCUAGUCUGAUUGCAGCCGUGGCCUCUUCCAGCUCCAUGACGCCUGACCACCCACUGACCAGCUCCACCAAAGAGUGCACCCCAGCUCUCCUCCCCAGGCCCACAAGACCCAGGCCUUCCUGGACACCGCCCAGCAGCUUGGCCCUCCCAGGCCCCUGCGUCUGGCUCCGUCCACCGGGGCCUGAGCGGCUGGGCUGCAGAUGCGCUGGCCCCUGGUCUCAGGCCAGACCCUCCCCACGCCCCCUGGCUCAGGCUCCUCCCCAGGCCAGGCUCCUCUGAAAUAUUGUCCCCCGUCUCCAGGGAGCACCUACCAGGAGUGCCUGGCACCCAGGAGGCAGGCAGAGGCCUGUGCUGAGAGGAGGAAGGCUCGCCCCCUGGUGGCACGAGGCCCUGGUGGACGACGUACCUGGGUGAGCAGCUGGCCGGGCUCCAGCUGGUUGAGCCACCGUGUGUACCGCUGGGUGGAGUUGGGGGGCUCCCUCUGCACCUGGCAGCCGAUGAUCUGUGAGACAACGACAAGCAGGGCUUAGGAGGAAGCUGCACCUGGCAGCCGAUGAUCUGUGAGACAACGACAAGCAGGGCUUGGGGGAAGCCGCCGCCGCCACGGGAGCAGCCUGUCUCCGUCCAGCCUCUGAGUAAACCUGUCACACGCGAAGAGCUCACUGUCCCCGGGGCCGCCUCCCUCUACCCAGGCUCACAGCAGCCCCAGGACGACGCCACCAGACAGGCAACCCCGUCCCAGAGGCAUCUGUCAGCUGCACCACGUCCUUCCCCCAGUGUCCUGCCCCCUGGCUCUGGACACGGGUCUCCACACACCCGGCUUCCGCGCACUGACCCCCAGCAGCCUUGCCCCACCCAUCCACGGCGUCUCAACACUGGGAAGCCUCUGCGUCCUCUGCUGGGGGUGCUCAGAGGCCAGGGGCCUGGCCCUGAGGCCCCCACACCCUCAGGUCCCGAUGCUCUCGGCCCUGAAGCUGGGACCCCAGCAGGCUCAGGCCUUCGAGGAGGCAGAGAACAGCUGGUCCCCGUGGGCAGCACCCCUCACAACAGCAGGAGGGGCCUCUUCUCCUCCCGGUGGCUGGCAGAGAGCAACUGGGGUGUCUGCAGGUGGCAGAGCCUGCCCCCUGGUGAAGGCACCCCCAUGAGGCUUGCAGGGCUGGCUUGCCUCGGUGGUGACACUAGCACUGGCCCCCCUGGCUGUGCUUUCCCCGACUCGCCGACCGCUGAGGGCCACGGUAAGGACGGCCUCCCUACUGAGGAAUGAUCAAAAGUCACCCCCGGUACCCGAGUUUCUUAAACGUUGCCCCAAUAGUCACGGUGGUUAAUUUACAUUAAUUCACUUACGCUAUGGGGAAGUUUGGGGGUUCUGCUUGCUUGAAUUUUUUGUUCGUUUAAAAAAAAAAAAAAGGCAAGGCACUCCUGUUGUGACGCAGCAGAAACAAAUGCGACGAGUAUCCAUGAGGACGCAGGUUUGAUCCCUGGCCUCGCUCGGUGGGUUGGGGAUCCAGCAUUGCUGUGGCUGUGGUGCAGGCCGGCAGCUGCAGCUCCGAGUGGACCCCUAGCCUGGGAACCUCCAUAUGCUGCAAGCACGGCCCUAAAAAAUUAAAAAAAAAAAAAAAAAAAGGCAGACUCACAUGCAGCGAGACAAGAGAGAGAUUCCAUGUGGCCUUGGGCUCAGGGACGUGGGGCACGUCCACGGAGCCUUUGCAGCCGCCGCUGCCCUCCAGCCGGCCACCAAAACCCUGGGUCUUCCCAAGGCCAGGACUCUGUCUCUCCGAGGACACCACGAAGCACCAGCACACCGUGUGCGGCCGGGGAAAAUGACCACACCCAGGGGCCCUGGGCGCACAGGCGAGGGCUCCUUGAUAAAGGGGGAGCUGGGUGCUUCUGAACUGCCCUCACGCCCAGCCUUCCAGAAGCUUCCAGCCUGAGGGGGGGGGGGCUCUCGAAACAGCUGACGGACGGGCUGUUUUUAGCUUCUUCCAGGCUUAAAUCAAGGACUGUUUACCUUAACAGUGUUUCAACGUAAGCAGUGUAAGCACAACUACUAUUCAGGGAGUAAGAAGCCUCAACAUCAAACUUUAGGCUGGGAAACAUCACCGACUCCAUGAAAAGACAAGAGAAGCCCCGGGGGCGGAGUGCGUGGGCAGACCAGGCACAGCCAGGUCCCGAGGGGCAGGCAGGUGUGCCAGGGUGG